rnacentral:rRNA from 1 species
GACGAACGCUGGCGGCGUGCCUAAUACAUGCAAGUAGAACGCUGAAGGAGGAGCUUGCUUCUCUGGAUGAGCUGCGAACGGGUGAGUAACGCGUAGGUAACCUGCCUGGUAGCGGGGGAUAACUAUUGGAAACGAUAGCUAAUACCGCAUAAUAGUAGAUGUUGCAUGACAUUUGCUUAAAAGGUGCAAUUGCAUCACUACCAGAUGGACCUGCGUUGUAUUAGCUAGUUGGUGGGGUAACGGCUCACCAAGGCGACGAUACAUAGCCGACCUGAGAGGGUGAUCGGCCACACUGGGACUGAGACACGGCCCAGACUCCUACGGGAGGCAGCAGUAGGGAAUCUUCGGCAAUGGACGGAAGUCUGACCGAGCAACGCCGCGUGAGUGAAGAAGGUUUUCGGAUCGUAAAGCUCUGUUGUAAGAGAAGAACGAGUGUGAGAGUGGAAAGUUCACACUGUGACGGUAUCUUACCAGAAAGGGACGGCUAACUACGU